rnacentral:tRNA from 1 species
GCCCCUCUGGCGCAGUUGUCAAGCGCCUGGCGGCCUUUCUCAAGCGAAUUAUUGAGAAGGUAGUGGGUUCGAAUCCCACGAGAGGCU